GCCGUCACAGUGUGUGUCAACACGCUUUCUUCUGACACUUAACGGCAUCAAGACCAAACCAAGGAGUAUAAUCAGCGAAACACAAGAGGUUUGCAAUGGUGCAAUGUCUGGUGUUCACACUGCUCUGGGUCUGUGCUGUGGCACUGCUUUCCCUUGGGAGUACAGAGAGAGUAUCUCAAACGACUGAGCCAAGUGUCUCUAGGAGCACAGACCCGACGGCUGAGACAGUUACUUUAGGACCAGUUGAGACCCAAAGCCCUGGUACACACACAGACCAGAGCAUAGAAGAAGAACAAGAACCACUUCCCUCAGACCCCUGUCAGGAUGACGAGUUGGAUAAGAGGGUGUACCAGAGGGAUUCUCAUGGUGUUAUGCAGCUGGUUCAGGGAGAGGACUACAAAAACACUUGCAACCUAUCAGACACUCCAGGUGAACAGGCCCACUGUCUUAUCUACCCUACCAAUCAACUCAACUGCUCCUGGAAUUUCCAUGGUCUCCCUAACGACAGCCAAUCCUACGCCUCCGUCUUUGUGUGUAAGAAAACUGAGAGAAUCUCCAGUGUGGACUGUGUCACUGAGGCCACAGGAGGCCAAGGAGCCCAGGGAGGGACUGGAAAGGCUGACCGUGUGGUUGGAAAUGUGUCUGCUGGGUGCCAAGGCAGUGUGGACAACAGCGCCACCUCGGUGAUCCUGACUUUCAACGUGUCAUGCUCUGACGUGUGGGGCAUCUACACCCAUAAAUACCAGACCAAAGAUAUUGAUGUGCUGCGCCCGCCCCCCGACAUCAACCUAGCCUGGGUCAGAGAGGGGGUUCUGCUGGUGCAGUGGGGUCUCCCAUCCAGCCGGUCACGCAACAAAUCCAGCUGCUUCCACUACCAGCUACAGAUCAAUGACCAGGUGAGGAACUUUACGGGUUUACUGACAUACAAUGAGACCAACGCAGACCCUACACAUUCACACAAUGUGAAGAUGAGGGUGAGGAAGAGUAAAACCUGCAGAGGAUCUCAACACUGGAGCAGCUGGAGCAACACCACCAAGGUGGCCCCGUUUAAAUUUCCCAAUCAGCUGAACUCUCUGGUGGUCGUUGGCAUCGCUCUGGGAAUACCCAUGAUCCUCCUGUCUCUGCUGCUGCUGAUUCGACUCCAGAGGGAACGUCUGUUUCCCCACAUCCCUGGUCCCCCACUGAAGAUUAAACACCUCUUGGAGAGAGACGACCAGUUUCAGUUUGUCCCUCAGGCCCUGCAGCCCAAAUUUGUUGAGGAGAUCACAGUGGUGGAGGAAGCUAAGGAAACACCUGUGAAUUUGGCCAGUUAAACAAGAUGGCCUGUUUAAAGCCCAAUCAUCCUAAUCCCCUAGACUGUGUAAGGGCCGAUCUGUAAGGAGGAUCCCCUUAGCAGAUGCAGUCAUUACCAUUUGUUAAUACCUAUCCAAUCCUUUCAAGAGUGGAUGCUACUUAUUGACAUGCAUUGUUCUUACAUGCUUAUUAGUGUCUACUCAAUUAAUUGUUGUAAUGUGCUCAGCUUCUACCAGUGUUGUAGUUCUCAAGACCGAGACCAGUCCAGUCUUGAGACCACAUAUGGGUCUUGUCUUGGUGUCAGCUACAUUCGUACUUGGUCGUGACUCAGUCUCAGACAGUGAGGACUCGUAAUUUCUUCCCUAGACCAGUGGAGUAAAAACACUCAAACAUAUACACUCCCAUCUUGAAACAUUAUCUUAACAACCGUUAUCUAUUAUAGACAUGGUUACGCAGUGGUGAACCUAUAGGUCUUCAGUAUGUGACAGGUUAGUACAGUGGUGAACCUAUAGGUCUUCAGUGUGUGACAGGUUAGUACAGUGGUGAACCUAUAGGUCUUCAGUGGUGAACCUAUAGGUCUUCAGUGUGUAACAGGUUAGUACAGUGGUGAACCUAUAGGUCUUCAGUGUGUGACAGGUUAGUACAGUGGUGAACCUAUAGGUCUUCAGUGUGUAACAGGUUAGUACAGUGGUGAACCUAUAGGCCUUCAGUAUGUGACAGGUUAGUACAGUGGUGAACCUAUAGGCCUUCAGUGUGUGACAGGUUAGCACAGUGGUGAACCUAUAGGCAUUCAGUGUGUGACAGGUUAGUACAGUGGUGAACCUAUAGGUCUUCAGUGUGUGACAGGUUAGUAAAGUGGUGAACCUGUAGGCCUUCAGUGUGUAACAGGUUAGUACAGUGGUGAACCUAUAGGACUUCAGUGUGUGUGUGACAGGUUAGUACAGUGGUGAACCUAUAGGUCUUCAGUGUAUGACAGGUUAGUACAGUGGUGAACCUAUAGGUCUUCAGUGUGUGACAGGUUAGUACAGUGGUGAACCUAUAGGACUUCAGUGUGUGACAGGUUAGUACAGUGGUGAACCUAUAGGUCUUCAGUAUGUAACAGGUUAGUACAGUGGUGAACCUAUAGGCCUUCAGUGUGUGACAGGUUAGUACAGUGGUGAACCUAUAGGUCUUCAGUGUGUGACAGGUUAGUACAGUGGUGAACCUAUAGGUCUUCAGUAUGUAACAGGUUAGUACAGUGGUGAACCUAUAGGUCUUCAGUGUGUGACAGGUUAGUACAGUGGUGAACCUAUAGGUCUUCAGUGUAACAGGUUAGUACAGUGGUGAACCUAUAGGUCUUCAGUAUGUAACUGGUUAGUACAGUGGUGAACCUAUAGGUCUUCAGUGUGUGACAGGUUAGUACAGUGGUGAACCUAUAGGCCUUCAGUGUGUGACAGGUUAGUACAGUGGUGAACCUAUAGGCCUUCAGUGUGUGACAGGUUGGUGAUUCUGAAAGGACAGCAACCGUAAUACCAGACACUCAUGUAGGAGAGUGCACUUUUUGUAAAACACAAAGGGACAGUGGUGUAGUGGAGGUAUUUUUUCAGUGGGAAUUGCCUAUACUCACUUAAUCCUAUUGAUGCGUAUCAAAGUAGUGUAGUGGAGUAUACGCAGGUAUUUUUUCAGUGGGCAUUGCCUAUACUCACUUAAUCCUAUUGAUGCGUAUCAAAGUAGUGUAGUGGAGGCAGUGGCGACCCAUCAUUAAGGGCAGUUCUUCAGUCCCACCUGUUUAGCAGGGGGUGUGCCUGUUUUGCAUGUUAUUUUGUCAUUAAUAUGUGUCACAUAUCAGUUUGAAAAAAAUGAAUGAGUUAAUAAAGCUUCAUACAAACAUGGUAUUUAUUUUCUUUCUUGAGUGAGGGAGCUCCAAAAUGCAGAUGUUUCCACUUAGUUCAGUGCUUUCUGUGGUGGGGCAGCCAGCGGAAAAUACUGAGCGUAGGAGUUGGUAAAGUUCUCUUGUUGCGCCUUGAAAGUAUGACUCAGUGUUCUGUCACUCAUGGGGACACUACGUCACGGCAAAAUUCAAGCCCCUUGGGUGCUGCCAUAGAGUUACAUUAGAAGUGCCCAUCCAAUAAGGCUCAAGGUCAUUGGCCACAGAUAAAAUGAUGUCAAAUCAUGUUAUAUCUACCAUAGCUUUGAUUGGAUGGAUCAUGUCAACAUCAUACUUUCUAAAUCUUAGCUAGUAAGCUAGCAGUCAUGAUCAUGAAUCUAGUUAGCAAUCUACAGGCAAAUCCUUUUCAAUCCUUG
ensembl:lncRNA